UAGGGAAUCUUCGGCAAUGGACGAAAGUCUGACCGAGCAACGCCGCGUGAGUGAAGAAGGUUUUCGGAUCGUAAAACUCUGUUGUUAGAGAAGAACAAGGACGUUAGUAACUGAACGUCCCCUGACGGUAUCUAACCAGAAAGCCACGGCUAACUACGUGCCAGCAGCCGCGGUAAUACGUAGGUGGCAAGCGUUGUCCGGAUUUAUUGGGCGUAAAGCGAGCGCAGGCGGUUUCUUAAGUCUGAUGUGAAAGCCCCCGGCUCAACCGGGGAGGGUCAUUGGAAACGGGGAGACUUGGGUGCAGAAGGGGAGAGUGGAAUUCCAUGUGUAGCGGUGAAAUGCGUAGAUAUAUGGAGGAACACCAGUGGCGAAGGCGGCUCUCUGGUCUGUAACUGACGCUGAGGCUCGAAAGCGUGGGGAGCAAACAGG
rnacentral:rRNA from 1 species